rnacentral:rRNA from 1 species
GAUGAACGCUGGCGGCGUGCCUAAUACAUGCAAGUCGAGCGAACGGACGAGAAGCUUGCUUUUCUGAUGUUAGCGGCGGACGGGUGAGUAACACGUGGAUAACCUACCUAUAAGACUGGGAUAACUUCGGGAAACCGGAGCUAAUACCGGAUAAUAUUUUGAACCGCAUGGUUCAAAAGUGAAAGACGGUCUUGCUGUCACUUAUAGAUGGAUCCGCGCUGCAUUAGCUAGUUGGUAAGGUAACGGCUUACCAAGGCAACGAUGCAUAGCCGACCUGAGAGAGUGAUCGGCCACACUGGAACUGAGACACGGUCCAGACUCCUACGGGAGGCAGCAGUAGGGAAUCUUCCGCAAUGGGCGAAAGCCUGACGGAGCAACGCCGCGUGAGUGAUGAAGGUCUUCGGAUCGUAAAACUCUGUUAUUAGGGAAGAACAUAUGUGUAAGUAACUGUGCACAUCUUGACGGUACCUAAUCAGAAGGCCACGGCUAACUACGUG